rnacentral:miRNA from 1 species
UUUUUAGUAUAAAGUAUGUCCUAUGCAAUAUUUGGGACAUACCUAGAUUAAAA